AACGAACGCUGGCGGCAUGCCUAACACAUGCAAGUCGAACGAGACCUUCGGGUCUAGUGGCGCACGUGUGCGUAACGCGUUGGAACCUGCCCUUAGGUUCGGAAUAACUCCCCGAAAUGGGUCCUAAUACCUGAUACUGUCUUCGGACCAAAGAUUUAUCGCCUUUGGAUGGGCCCGCGUUGGAUUAGCUAGUUGGUAGGGUAAAAGCCUACCAAGGCGACGAUCCAUAGCUGGUCUGAGAGGAUGAUCAGCCACACUGGGACUGAGACACGGCCCAGACUCCUACGGGAGGGAGCAGUGGGGAAUAUUGGACAAGGGGCGAAAGCCUGAUCAAGCAAUGCCGCGGGAGUGAGGAAGGCCUUAGGGUUGUAAAGCUCUUUUACAAGGGAUGAUAAUGACAGUACCGGGAGAAUAAGCUCCGGCUAACUCCGUG
rnacentral:rRNA from 1 species